rnacentral:rRNA from 1 species
GAUAAACGCUGGCGGCGUGCUUAACACAUGCCAGUCGAACGAAGUUUUUCUUUCGGGAUGAACUUAGUGGCGGACGGGUGAGUAACGCGUGGGUAACCUGCCCUGUACAGGGGGACAACAGCUGGAAACGGCUGCUAAUACCGCAUAAGCCCUUAGCACUGCAUGGUGCAUAGGGAAAAGGAGCAAUCCGGUACAGGAUGGACCCGCGUCUGAUUAGCCAGUGGGCAGGGUAACGGCCUACCAAAGCGAUGAUCAGUAGCCGAUCUGAGAGGAUGUACGGCCACAUUGGGACUGAGGCACGGCCCAGAAUCCUACGGGAGGCAGCAGUGGGGAAUAUUGCACAAUGGAGGAAACUCUGAUGCAGCGACGCCGCGUGAGUGAAGAAGUAUUGCGGUAUGUGAAGCUCUAUCAGCAGGGGAGAAAAUGACGGUACCUGACUAAGAAGCACCGGCUAAAUACGUG